ACUGCCCCUAGAGGUAUUACAGAUUUGGCUGCUGUGUCACAUGUACAUCAGUGGGUGGAAGAAAGAAGAGAAACUAUGUCUACCAUCAGUGUUCUGACCCGUGAACAUCUAAAUUAUUAGUUAUCUAACAUU